UGCCAAAGCUUCAUGUAGAGCCCUUCUCUCUUUUAUCACGAGUAAAAGUUCAGGUUUAAAAUAGAACAACGGAUGACUAAUGCCAUUUCCAGCUGUGACUGAAUUCUCCACUGCCUGAUGCUUUUCAAAUGUAUCUGAAUCAGAAUCGAACACCCACUUUAUGCAUAGCUCCCUAAUCAGGAAGUUAUUCUUCCCAUCAAAGCAACUGGAAAGAAAAAAGAUAAAACAAUGAAGGGAGGAGAAAACACAAAAGUUCAAGAAGAGCAGAAUGUUCCGGCAAGGAGAAAAAGCUGGGAAAAGUCACCAAUGAAUGCCAGGGUUCACCACUAUCUUAGGAAUAUCAUGAAUAAAGCGUUAGAUUGGGUGUGCCCUAACUGAUGGUCACAAGCAUGAUACUAAUUAUCAGGGUGAACAAAGCAGGGGAGUAAGAGCAUCAGUAACUGUGAAACUCUAGGAGUUUGUCUUCAUUCUUUCAGUGAUAGGUACUGAGUGUUUCCCAUGUGUCAUACCCUAUGCCAGGUGCUGGGGAUGCAAUGGUAAAGGAACAGACCUGGCAAUAUUCCUCAUGGAGCUUGUGGUCUAGGACUGAAUGGGUCCCGUCAAUUUCAAAUAACAGCCAUGCUUGUUAUAAAUGAUGAUAGAUUUUCUACUCAAAA
rnacentral:lncRNA from 1 species